rnacentral:rRNA from 1 species
GAGUUUGAUCGUGGCUCAGAUUGAACGCUGGCGGCAUGCCUUACACAUGCAAGUCGAACGGCAGCACGGGAGCUUGCUCCUGGUGGGCGAGUGGCGAACGGGUGAGUAAUGCAUCGGAACGUAUCCUGGAGUGGGGGAUAACGUAGCGAAAGUUACGCUAAUACCGCAUAUUCUGUGAGCAGGAAAGCGGGGGACCUUCGGGCCUCGCGCUCUUGGAGCGGCCGAUGUCGGAUUAGCUAGUUGUGAGGUAAAGGCUCACCAAGGCGACGAUCCGUAGCAGGUCUGAGAGGAUGAUCUGCCACACUGGAACUGAGACACGGU